ACGCAGCCGAGGCAAGCUCCAGUCAACAUUGUCCGCUGGAGGGUUGCGCAACGUGAGGUACUACAUUGUGCGCGGCGUGCUUAAAUAUCAUCGUUGGGUUUAUCCUGCUGCUGAAGCUGCAAAAGGCUACCAGUGCCCUGACUGACUGACCACUGCCAUCACUAUGACAGAACCCCCCAAGACCUUUGCUGAAUUUGAUGCAAUAAAUUUGACUAAAGGCAAUCA